AAUCCUUGAUUUGGCGCCUUGUUUUGUGUUUUGGCGGUUUUAAUGUCCAUAAAGCACAUACUUUCUCCUUUUCUCCGUCUGUUUGGCGGUUGUAUUUCAACAGCAAGCAUACAUACAUACAAAAUUUCAUUUUUAUAUUUAUAUUUCAAUCCUUUGAAAAAAUCUGUUCGUUAGAACACAUUAAUUAAUUAACCAAGACUUUGUUUUAGCAUUUGUUUUAGCAAGAAAUAAUGGAUUCUAUCUACCAAUCUACUACUUCAAGGAGCCUUCAAUCGACUUCAACAAGUUCUGAAUUUGUCUCAGGAGCCUGCCACCUCUGCAGCAAAAUAUUUAAAAAUGUAAAAUUACGAAAUCGUCAUAUCAAAAGAAUACAUAAAAUAGAUGUGUCAAUUAAGAAAAUUGAUCAUAUUGUUUGUCCGUUAUGUGAGCAAGAAACUAGUUUACAAACCCAUGAGAACUUAUGAAAACAUAUUAAGGAGAAUCACCAGGUGAGUAUUGAACUAAUAACUUUGGAAUUUUCUAGCAAACAAGAAUAUGAGACAUGGAAAGAUAUGCAGAAAAUUGAGACCAGUUAUGCAACAUCUCGAACAGUUAAUGCAAAGGAACACAAGAUCUUAUACUAUGAGUGUAACAGAAGUGACACAUAUGGAUAUAAGCCCCACUCUAAAAUUAGGACAGAGAAAUCUGGUGGAUCAAUUAGAAUUAAAGGGGUGUGUCCCUCCAGACUAAUUUGUAAACUGACAAAUCAAGGACAAGUUUCGGUCAGUUAUUGGAAAACACAUGCUGGACAUAAAGAAGAAUUAAGAGCCAUACAUCUGUCAAAAGCAGAAGAAAAAACGAUUGAAGAAAAAUUAAUGGCUGGGGUGCCACCCAGUAGAAUUUUACAAGAUUCAAGAAAAUUGGAAAAACCACAACUAGAUACACUUGCCCUAUUAACAAGUCAAGAUCUCGCAAAUUUAUCCAAGAAGUAUAAUGUACACAAGAAACGAGAUCAAAAUGAUAUGGUAGCAACAACCUUAAAGGUUCAGGAAUGGAAUGCUAACAACAAGAAUUAUGCUUUCUUAUUUAAGAAAGAAGGAGAAGAACAUGAUGUGCUGAGAAAGGAAGAUUUUGCUAUAGGAUUCAUGAACAAGAUAAUGGAAGAUAAAUUACGAAAAUUCCCGAAGAUAAUUUGUAUGGACGGCACACAUGGAACCAACAAGAGACGGAUGGACUUGACGAUAAUGCUGGUGAAGUAGGAAUGCAGGAUUUCCGGUUGCAUUCCUGCUGUCCAACAGAUUGGACCAACAGGUUCAAGAAGUUUUUUUAGAUGCUCUCAAGAAUAAGAUGAAGACUGAAAUUCAAGCAGAACAUUUCAUGAGUGAUGAUGAAAACAAGUAUUAUAAUGCAUGGGUGAAGAUAAUGGGAAAUGAACCAAAUAGGCUUUUGUGCACAUGGCACGUCGUCAAGAAUUGGAACAUUCAAGGGAAGAAGAAAUUUCACGACCCAACUUUAAAGAAAGAAAUGAAAACUGAAUUAAGACAGAUUAUAACAGAAACGGAUGUAGAUACAUUUAAUGAAUUAUGCAGACACUAUUUAAUAAAACU
rnacentral:misc_RNA from 1 species